AACGAACGCUGGCGGCGCGUCUUAAGCAUGCAAGUCGGACGGCAAGAAGAGAGCUUGCUCUCUUCCUAGAGUGGCGGACUGGUGAGUAACACGUGGGUGACGUACCCUUUAGCUGGGGAUAGCCGGUAGAAAUACCGGGUAAUACCGAAUAAUCUUGCUUCUUUGAUGUGAAGUAAGGAAAGGAGCUUCGGCUUCACUGAAGGAACGGCCCGCGCACUAUUAGCUGGUUGGUGAGGUAACGGCCCACCAAGGCAACGAUAGUUAUCCGGCCUAAGAGGGUGAACGGACACAUUGGGACUGAGAUACGGCCCAGACUCCUACGGGAGGCAGCAGCUAAGAAUAUUCCGCAAUGGAGGAAACUCUGACGGAGCGACGCCGCGUGGAUGAUGAAGGUCGGAAGAUUGUAAAAUCCUUUAAGUAUGAUGAAUAACCUGAUCAGGAAAUGGGACAGGGAUGACCGUAAUACUUGAAUAAGCAACGGCUAAUUACGUGCCAGCAGCCGCGG
rnacentral:rRNA from 1 species